UACGAAGGGGGCGAGCGUUGUUCGGAUUUACUGGGCGUAAAGGGCGCGCAGGCGGCGGAUCAAGUCAGACGUGAAAGCCCCGGGCUUAACCUGGGAACUGCGUUUGGGACUGAUUUGCUAGAGAUCGGGAGAGGAGAGUGGAAUUCCCAGUGUAGAGGUGAAAUUCGUAGAUAUUGGGAAGAACACCGGUGGCGAAGGCGGCAUCCUGGACCGGUAUUGACGCUGAUGCGCGAAAGCCAGGGGAGCAAACGGG
rnacentral:rRNA from 1 species